AGGCUAACUUGAGCUCCUGAGAGCUCUCUGCCUCUUGCUUCCCAAGCGCUACAAUGACAGAUGCACACCCACCAGCAGAGGCGACCCUGGGAAUUACAAGUUGACUUCGUCGAGGAUCUGCUAAGCUGGUUUAGGAAAGACUGUUAUGCAUAGUGCAAUUUAGCUAAAUGAGCGCUCCAAGCCAAGCACAGAAGGGAGUGAAGAAAGUGUUCACUUUCUUUAGUUCUCUGGUGCUGCAGCACAUUGGGUGUGAGCGCGCGUGGUGCCACGCUGGCUGGCCCGGGCACACUUCCAUCACAUGCAUUCUGUGUGGCAUGAGGACGCUGCAUCUGAGAGAGGCUGGCCCUCCAGACAGUCUGCAACCUUCCAACCCUAAGAUGAACUGAGAGGAGGAGCCAAGGGCAGCCAGGGAGGACUUCCUGCUUGUCUGUGAUUCUCUGAUGAUCUUGAACACACAUACCUCAUACCGAAAAUGGACCAUCAUCACUUAUUGUGUCCUCUACUCUUUUUGCUCUUAUUGGUCCUAUUUCCCGAUUUAUUUUUACUUUUCCAAUUGACCAGUUCUUUGAUUCCCUUUUGUUACAGGCCUGAUGUCUGACCCAGUGACUAACAGCAUUAGGUUUGUAUUGACAUGCUAUGUACAUUUCUGUCACUUGCUCUUUCGAUAAGUUUUUUUGGUUAGCCCCUUAUACAGGGAUAAAGCAGCAACCUACACUCUUGCCACUUGCGAGAUGGCUCAGUGGUUAGAGUACUAGCUGCUCUUGUAGAGGUCCCAGGUUCAAUUCCCAGUACAUGGUGACUCACAACCAUCUGUAACUUCAGUCCCAGGGAAUCCAACACCCUCU
rnacentral:lncRNA from 1 species